rnacentral:rRNA from 1 species
CCUACGGGGUGCAGCAGUGAGGAAUAUUGGUCAUUGGCCGCAGGGCUGAACCAGCCAAGUCGCGUGAGGGAUGACGGUCCUAUGGAUUGUAAACCUCUUUGGUCAGGGAGCAAAGGGCGCCACGUGUGGCGUUUUGCGAGUACCCGAAGAAAAAGCAUCGGCUAACUCCGUGCCACCAGCCGCGGUAAUACGGAGGAUUCGAGCGUUAUCCGGAUUGCUGGGGUUAAAGGGGUGCGCAGGCGGGAUGUCAAGUCAGCGGUAAAAUCUCGGCGCUCAACUGCGUCGUGCCGUUGAAACGGGCGUUCUUGAGUGAGGGAGAAGUAGGCGGAAUGCGUGGUGUAGCGGUGAAAUGCAUAGAUAUCACGCAGAACUCCGAUUGCGAAGGCAGCAUACCGGCGCUCAACUGACGCUGAUGCACGAAAGCGUGGGGAUCGAACAGGAUUAGAUACCCCUGUAGUC